AUACGGAGGGUGCAAGCGUUAAUCGGAAUUACUGGGCGUAAAGCGCACGCAGGCGGUCUGUCAAGUCGGAUGUGAAAUCCCCGGGCUCAACCUGGGAACUGCAUUCGAAACUGGCAGGCUUGAGUCUUGUAGAGGGGGGUAGAAUUCCAGGUGUAGCGGUGAAAUGCGUAGAGAUCUGGAGGAAUACCGGUGGCGAAGGCGGCCCCCUGGACAAAGACUGACGCUCAGGUGCGAAAGCGUGGGGAGCAAACAGGAUUAGAUACCCUGGUAGUCCACGCCGUAAACGAUGUCUACUUGGAGGUUGUGCCCUUGAGGCGUGGCUUCCGGAGCUAACGCGUUAAGUAGACCGCCUGGGGAGUACGGCCGCAAGGUUAAAACUCAAAUGAAUUGACGGGGGCCCGCACAAGCGGUGGAGCAUGUGGUUUAAUUCGAUGCAACGCGAAGAACC
rnacentral:rRNA from 2 species